AGGUUGGGCAGUGGCUCGCCAUGUUGUCCAGGCUGGUCUUGAACUCCGGGGCUCAAGCAAUCCUCCCACCUCAAGACUCCCAAAGUUCUGGGACUACAGUCACAAGACACCACAGCAGCUAAAAAGGAGAAAUAACUUUAUUUGGACUGAGAGCUGGAGAAUGAGAAUAGGACCUGAGACAGCGUAUUGGGCGAAGGAGGAGAGGUGAGGUUCCCAAACGGCAGUCAAAGCUCAUGGACCAAACGAAUUCUACUUCCCAGCAACCUUGCAGUUAGUGCAACCAACAAAAGGCCUGCUGGGGAAUGUAUUUGCCGCUAAAUUCCCCAAGUAUGCCAACAUUACAAAAAAGAUAGAGGUUUUUCAUCAUAAUUAAAUUUCCACAAACCUCCCCAAUCACAAGUAUUAUAAGCAGAAGUAAAAAACCACGUUUUACAGAUCUCAAA